rnacentral:rRNA from 1 species
AAAUCAAGCGCGAAAAGGGCGUUUGGUGGAUGCCUUGGCAGUAAGAGGCGAUGAAGGACGUGAUACUCUGCGAUAAGCCAUGAGGAGCCGAGAAUAGGCUGUGAUCCAUGGAUUUCCGAAUGGGGCAACCCACCUGACAGUUUGUUAUUGUUACCCUCGGGUAGUCAAUAACGGGCUGAACCAGGUACUUGAGGACUGAAUACAUAGGUCUUCAAGAGCAAACCCGGAGAACUGAAACAUCUAAGUACCCGGAGGAAAGGACAGCAAUAGCGACUCCCCCAGUAGCGGCGAGCGAACGGAGACCAGCCGAGCCCGAGAAGUGACCAGAAUGCGUUGGGAAGCGCAGCCAUAGCGGGUGACAGCCCCGUAUGGGAAGCUUUGAGGGACGUAUCAAGUAGGGCGGGACACGUGAAAUCCUGUCUGAAGAUCGGAGGACCACCUUCGAAGGCUAAGUACUCCUUACUGACCGAUAGCGAACCAGUACCGUGAGGGAAAGGUGAAAAGCACCCCGACGAGGGGAGUGAAACAGUACCUGAAACCGAACGCCUACAAUCAGUCGGAGCUUGACUGGACUCCAAUGAUAAUCUGCCUCAUGAAGGAUUAUCAUUGGUGUCCAGUCUUGUGACGGCGUACCUUUUGUAUAAUGGGUCAUCGACUUGGUCUAUCCAGCAAGCUUAAGCCGUUAGGUGUAGGCGCAGCGAAAGCGAGUCUUAAUAGGGCGCAUGAGUUGGAUGGAUCAGACCCGAAACCGAGUGAUCUAGGCAUGACCAGGAUGAAGGUUGGGUAACACCAACUGGAGGUCCGAACCCACACCUGUUGAAAAAGGUCGGGAUGAGUUGUGCCUAGGGGUGAAAGGCCAAUCAAACUCGGAGAUAGCUGGUUCUCUGCGAAAUCUAUUUAGGUAGAGCGUCAUCUGAAUACCCCCGGGGGUAGAGCACUGGAUGGGUAAUGGGGCCCCACAGGCUUACUGAUCCUAACCAAACUCCGAAUACCGGGGAGUACUGGAUGGCAGACAGACGGCGGAUGCUAACGUCCGUCGUCGAGAGGGAAACAACCCUGACCUACAGCUAAGGCCCCCAAUUCAUGGCUAAGUGGGAAAGCAGGUGGGACGACCAAAACAACCAGGAGGUUGGCUUAGAAGCAGCCAUCCUUUAAAGAUAGCGUAACAGCUCACUGGUCUAAACAAGUUGUCCUGCGGCGAAGAUGUAACGGGGCUCAAGCCAUGAGCCGAAGCUUAGGAUGCCGCAAGGCAUGGUAGCAGAGCGUAGUGUGACAUGGUUUCCAUCCUCUUUGGUGUCCCUCGGGGCGGCAUGGAGGCCGGAAAUCUUCGAUGAAGCGGGCGCGUGAGCGAUCCCGUGGAGAGAUCACUAGUGAGAAUGAUGACAUGAGUAGCGACAAAGAGUGUGAGAGACACUCUCGCCGAAAGUCCAAGGGUUCCUGCUUAAAGCUAAUCUGAGCAGGGUAAGCCGACCCCUAAGGCGAGGCCGAAAGGCGUAGUCGAUGGGAACCAGGUUAAUAUUCCUGGGCCAGAUGGAAGUGACGGAUUGCGGAUGUUGUUCGCCCUUAUCGGAUUGGGCGGGCCGCUGAGCGGUUCCUGGAAACAGCUCCAUCAUGAGAUCGUACCCGAAACCGACACAGGUGGACUGGUAGAGAAUACCAAGGCGCUUGAGAGAACUACGUUGAAGGAACUCGGCAAAAUACCUCCGUAAGUUCGCGAGAAGGAGGCCCGGUUCCUAGGCAACUAGGGGCUGGGGACACAAACCAGGGGGUGGCGACUGUUUACUAAAAACACAGGGCUCUGCGAAGUCGCAAGACGACGUAUAGGGUCUGACGCCUGCCCGGUGCCUGAAGGUUAAAAGGAGGGGUGAGAGCUCUGAAUUGAAGCCCAGGUAAACGGCGGCCGUAACUAUAACGGUCCUAAGGUAGCGAAAUUCCUUGUCGGGUAAGUUCCGACCUGCACGAAUGGCGUAACGACUUCCCCGCUGUCUCCAACGUAGACUCAGCGAAAUUGAAUUGCCUGUCAAGAUGCAGGCUUCCCGCGGUUAGACGGAAAGACCCCGUGCACCUUUACUAUAGCUUCGCACUGGCAUCAGGAUUGUGAUGUGCAGGAUAGGUGGUAGGCUUUGAACCCGGGACGCCAGUCUCGGUGGAGCCACCCUUGAGAUACCACCCUUCGCACUUCUGAUGUCUAACCGCGGCCCGUUAUCCGGGUCCGGGACCCUGCGUGGUGGGUAGUUUGACUGGGGCGGUCGCCUCCUAAAGCGUAACGGAGGCGCGCGAAGGUUGGCUCAGAGCGGUCGGAAAUCGCUCGUUGAGUGCAAUGGCAGAAGCCAGCCUGACUGCGAGACUGACAAGUCGAGCAGAGUCGAAAGACGGCCAUAGUGAUCCGGUGGUCCCAAGUGGGAGGGCCAUCGCUCAACGGAUAAAAGGUACGCCGGGGAUAACAGGCUGAUACUGCCCAAGAGUCCAUAUCGACGGCAGUGUUUGGCACCUCGAUGUCGGCUCAUCUCAUCCUGGGGCUGGAGCAGGUCCCAAGGGUACGGCUGUUCGCCGUUUAAAGAGGUACGUGAGCUGGGUUUAGAACGUCGUGAGACAGUUCGGUCCCUAUCUGCCGUGGGUGUAGGAUACUUGAGAGGAGUUGCCCCUAGUACGAGAGGACCGGGGUGAACGAACCACUGGUGGACCUGUUGUGGCGCCAGCCGCAGUGCAGGGUAGCUAUGUUCGGACAGGAUAACCGCUGAAGGCAUCUAAGCGGGAAGCCCCCCUCAAAACAAGGUAUCCCUGAGGGCCGUGGUAGACCACCACGUCGAUAGGCCGGAGAUGUAAGCGCAGCAAUGCGUUCAGUUGACCGGUACUAAUGGCCCGACAGGCUUGAUUUGA